rnacentral:SRP_RNA from 14 species
AGCGGCUGGCCCGCUGCUGCGUGUACAAGUGGGUGCUGCGGGUCAUCGCCCCGCACGGCGGCUGCCACCGCAGCGGCGUCCACCAUGUCGGACAUCGUGAGGCCGACGGUUUCGCGGAGCAGCGUGUCUCGCCAGCGC